rnacentral:tRNA from 1 species
GGGUCGUUAGCUCCAGUUGGUAGAGCAGUUGACUUUUUAAUCAGUGGUCGCAGGUUCGAAUCCUGCACGACCCG